GGCCCGCACAAGCGGAGGAGCAUGUGGUUUAAUUCGAUGAUACGCGAGGAACCUUACCAAGGCUUAAAUGUAAUAUGACCGGUUGAGAGAUCAACCUUUUUCGAACAGAUUACAAGGUGCUGCAUGGUUGUCGUCAGCUCGUGCCGUGAGGUGUCGGGUUAAGUCCCAUAACGAGCGCAACCCUAUUUUUAGUUACCAGCGAGUAAUGUCGGGAACUCUAGAAAAACUGCCUGUGCAAACAGAGAGGAAGGUGGGAUGACGUCAAAUCAUCACGGCCCUUAUGUCUUGGGCUACACACGUGCUACAAUGGUUACUACAAUGUGAUGCCAUCUGGUGACAGAGAGCUAAUCAAUAAAGGUAAUCUCAGUUCGGA
rnacentral:rRNA from 1 species